CAGCAGCCACGGUAAUACGAAGGGUGCAAGCGUUACUCGGAAUUACUGGGCGUAAAGCGUGUGUGGGUGGUUGUUUAAGUCUGUCGUGAAAGCCCUGGGCUCAACCUGGGAAUUGCGAUGGAUACUGGGCGACUAGAGUGCGGUAGAGGAUAGUGGAAUUUCCGGUGUAGCAGUGAAAUGCGUAGAGAUCGGAAGGAACAUCUGUGGCGAAGGCGACUAUCUGGGCCAACACUGACACUGAGACACGAAAGCGUGGGGAGCAAACAGGAUUAGAUACCCCAGUAGUCCCUGUCUCUUAUAC
rnacentral:rRNA from 1 species